rnacentral:rRNA from 1 species
AGUGAACGCUGGCGGCAGGCCUAACACAUGCAAGUCGAGCGGCAGCGGGUCCCCGCGAGGGGAUGCCGGCGAGCGGCGGACGGGUGAGGAACACAUCGGAAUCUGCCUGGUUGUGGGGGAUAACGUAGGGAAACUUACGCUAAUACCGCAUGCGACCCUGAGUCGACGGACUUGGGUGAAAGUGAGGGACCUUCGGGCCUCACGCGACCAGAUGAGCCGAUGUCGGAUUAGCUAGUUGCGGGUAACGCCGCCAAGCGACGAUCCGUAGCUGGUCUGAGAGGAUGAGUCAG